rnacentral:tRNA from 1 species
UGUGCUGUAGCUCAGUGGCAGAGUUCUUGCCUAGCAUGUGUGAGGCACUGGGUUCAAUCCUUAGCACCACAU